rnacentral:rRNA from 1 species
UGAGGAAUAUUGGUCAAUGGGCGAGAGCCUGAACCAGCCAAGUAGCGUGCAGGAUGACGGCCCUAUGGGUUGUAAACUGCUUUUAUGUGGGGAUAAAGUGCGUGACGUGUCAUGCAUUGCAGGUACCACAUGAAUAAGGACCGGCUAAUUCCGUGCCAGCAGCCGCGGUAAUACGGAAGGUCCGGGCGUUAUCCGGAUUUAUUGGGUUUAAAGGGAGCGUAGGCUGUCUAUUAAGCGUGUUGUGAAAUUUACCGGCUCAACCGGUGGCUUGCAGCGCGAACUGGUCGACUUGAGUAUGCAGGAAGUAGGCGGAAUUCAUGGUGUAGCGGUGAAAUGCUUAGAUAUCAUGACGAACUCCGAUUGCGCAGGCAGCUUACUGUAGCAUAACUGACGCUGAUGCUCGAAAGUGCAGGUAUCAAACAGG